rnacentral:sRNA from 1 species
UUAGCCAUGGUAGUAGAUGGCAUUCACAGGGAUUUAGAUGAAUUCCAACGGAUGUGGUUUGUUUUGUUUCUGUUUUUAGGUUGAUAUCCCUGAAAGUGCUUAAUAGCAUCGUGCUGUUGGGGAAAUCGUGCCAGUAUGUGAAGGAAGCCAAAAUGGAAGAGAAGCUGUCGAAUCCUCCCCCAACCUGCACUCCAGGCAAGCCGUCCAGUAAAUCACAGAACAAAUGUAAACCCUCUCAAGGCCUUUCCGCAGAAGAAAACCUGUCUGCCUCCGUCACCAAACAGCCUAUUCAUCAAAAGGAAAAUAUCAUACCAUUACUUGUGACAAGCAAUUCUGAUCAGUUUUUGACAACUCCAGAUGGUGACGAGAAGGACAUAACGCAGGACAAUUCUGAAUUAAAACACAGAUCCUCAAAGAAAGAUUUGUUAGAGAUAGACAGGUUCACAAUUUGCGGAAACCGAAUUGACUGAAUCUGUGGCUUCAUGCACUGAAGAAGCUGGGUCCUGGGGCAACAAGUGCUAUGUUG